GUUGAACAUUUUAGCCACCCAGAUCAUCCAUUGAUCCUCAUGAAUCAAGUUCUCGAGUUUAGUUGUGAACUAGUUAUUUGCUCUGGAUGCGAGGGACCUAUAUGGGGUCCUUGCUACAGUUGCACCUCUUGCUACUUCUUUCUUCAUAAGAAAUGCGCCGAGCUGCCCCGUGAGAUCAAGCGGCGCAUUCAUCGUAGACACCCUCUCCAUCUACUGGCAAAGUCACCAUAUAAAGGAAACUACCUUUGUAAUCGGUGCACCAAAACUUUCAACAGUUUUGUGUACCAUUGUUCUUACUGUAAGUUUGAUCUAGAUAUCAAAUGUGCUUUUGAACCGGGUUUUUUUGAGGUUGAUAGUCAAUUUGCCCAUAAGGAUCAUCCAUUGAUUUUGAAUGAAGAGAAAGAAUAUCAUGAUGAAGGAGUUAUGUGCUCUGUUUGCAAGGAACCAAUGUCGGGUCCUAGCUAUAGUUGCACUUCUUGCAACGUCUUUCUUCACAAGAAGUGUGCUGAGCUACCCCCAGAGAUCAAGCGGCACAUUCAUCCAGAACACCCUCUUCGUCUACUGCCAAAUCAUCACAUGAUCUGUGGUUUUUGCAAAGAAACUUGCUAUGAGAGUUUUGUUUACUGCUGUUUUGUGUGCGAAUUCAACCUCCAUAUCAAAUGUGCUUUUCCACCUUGCGUUUAUGCAGCUGAUCAGGAUCAGGGGCAUCAAUUUAGAAGCCUGAUGAAUCCACUUUCAUUCAAAUCAAUCUCCUUCACUUGCCAUGCAUGUGGCACUGGGGGAGAUGACUCCCCUUUCAUGUGCACCAUGUGCCAACUCGUGGUCCACGAAGAAUGCAUUUCAUUGCCAGGCACCCUUAAAACGGCACUGCACCAUCAUCCCCGAAUCAUCCACGCGUAUCAACAUCAACAAUGCAUCGAAUCGAUAAACAAGUACUGUGGAAUUUGCUGUCGGGAAGUUGACACAGAAUACGGAGUUUACUAUUGCCCAGACUGUGACUUUGUUGCACACGUGAAUUGUAGCAGAGAAUAUGGCGAUUCGGCAACAGAGACUGGAGGAGAAAACGAAGAAGAGCAAAGUGUGACUGUUGAUGAUCAAUUCAUGGAACCUAGCUUUCGCGUAGUCCGUGAGAUCAAGCAUGGAGAGGAGAGAAUAAUUGAAGAGAUCGAACAUUUCAGUCAUCAACAUAACCUAAUCCUUAAUGACAAGGUUGAUGAUGAUCUAAAGUGUGAUGGGUGCAUGCUACCAAUCUCAACUCCAUUUUAUAGUUGUGCCAGGUGUAAUUUCUUUCUUGACAAAACCUGCAUAGAAUUACCCAAGAAAAAAAAGUGGCAAUAUCACGAAAACCAACUGAUUCUUUCAUGGAGCCGAAGGGAACAUUUUCUGUACAACUGUGUUGUGUGUAAUCAAUAUUUUCGUGGGCUCAGGUACACAUGUGAUGUAUGUCGUCUCUGCAUUGAUGUCCGAUGCUUCAAAUCAUUGAAAGAUUCUUUUAAACAUGGAGGUCAUGAGCAUCCCCUUUAUCUUCCAGCGGACAGAAAGAAAAUUCUCCGUUGCACUAUUGGAGGUCGCGGGGUUCCCCCUUGGGUUGCAGAUGACGGAGAGAUUAUUCCCCAUUGCAGUGGCUGUUGUGUCAGUGAAGAAUCAAAGGUAUUUUUUAAAUGUGCGGUUUGCGAUUUCAAGCUGGGUAUGAAAUGUGCUACACUGCCAUACAAAGCAAGACACGAGUAUGAUGACCAUCCUCUCUUCCUCACCUAUAUUAAUGCAAAUGACUACCAACCUUCCUGUAUAAUUUGUGAAGAAGAUAGAGACCCAAAGCUCUGGUUCUACCGUUGUGAGGAAUGCGACUUCGAUGCUCAUCCAGAAUGUGCUCUCGGGAAAUACCCAUUUUUCAAGCCAGGGGGUGUUCUAACAUAUCCUAAACACCCUCACCCUCUUGCUUUGGUCAUCAAGACAGAGGAUUAUCGUCCACAGGCAUGCGAUACUUGUGGUUUGCCUUGCGACGACUUGGCCCUAGAAUGUACUGAUCCUAACUGCAGUUUUAUCGUCCACCGGGAUAGAUGGGAAUGCUAUGAGUCAUUAUGGUGAUUGGAUUGCAGUUGAUGGCUUUUUUCUUAUUUUUGGGUUAUGAUUGUUGGGGUGAAUGGAUGGAUACAUAUGUAGCUUCAUACUUAUUAUUUUCGCAGAUGAGAUCACUUUUUUUUCUCUCUCUUUUUUUCUGAACAAUGGAUGCUAUUUUAUUAAAACUGUCAAGCUCUCCAUAAAUUCUGCAUUUACAUUUUCGUUAUAGAUUUUAUUGUAAAUGCAUAAAAAUAGUCAUAUAAAACAACACUUAUCUAACUGAUAUCAAUUAUUUUCAUUCAAAUAUUUAAUUUUUCUUUCCUUAACACAAUCUAAUAUUAAAUAAAUGUAUUUAAAUAAUAUUUAAAACGAACACCUCAAGGCCAUUCGAUAGCUUUGUCCUUUAAUAAGAUAUAUAAUGAAAAAAUAAGUUAAUUCAUGUUUUUGAUAUUUUUCUUCUUAAGAAGAAUUAAGAUUUUGCCUGUUUCACUUGCAAUGCAUGUGGCACUGAUUUGUUGAAGAUUAUUACCAUCAGACGUCACAUCUGUUGCAUUUCUUCGUUCAGCUAACCCAGUCUCAGAAAAUUUCUUCAUUUGUAUAGGUAUUGAUAUCAUAAAUAAAAUUCAAAAAAUAAAAAAUAAAAAUUUUAAUUCAUUUAAAAAAAAAUUUAAAUUUUUUUUUUUUUACCACUUCUCGUAGCAAUCCACGUAGCCUCGGUUUUACUUUGAAAACAACUUGGCAACUGAAUGGUGGUCCAGUUAAACGCAUUUUCUUAAUCAGCAGUUUUCCUUUUGAAAUGAAAACGGUUGGCGUGUACUUGUGCUUCCUUUUCUUUUUCUUUUUUUUUUGUUUUUUUUUUUUUAUUAACGUAGAUGUCCGGGUCACUUUGUGCGUACCUCAACUAAUCCCACAGACUCUGAAGUUAAUAACCAUGUAAGCCUCUAGUGGCCCUGAGAUUUGUAGGACUCGAAUGGGUGACCUCUAGAGAGCAAACCUAGGAUCUAACCAGUUAAGUUACACCUCUCAGGAUUUUUUCUUUUAUUUUUAUUCCAUAGUAAAAGGUAAUUUUUUAUUAGUUUAUAUGUUAAUCAAGAUUGAGUUUUUUUAUUCAAAUAAUUUUAAAGAUAAAUAAUUUAAAGUUAUGAAUCAUCUAAUAAUCCAUUUAAAGUUAUAAAGUUAUAUAGUUGUGAUGUGUCUUAAAUCAAAUAAAAACUAUACUAGAUUAUUAAUUUGCAUUACGCUACAGGCCAAGUUAAUUUUUUUAUAAAUAUAAAAAAAAUAUUUAGAUAUUGUUAAUUUUUUUUUUCAGUAAAAAAAUCUAAAUCACUUGAAGAUUGACCUGAUAUAACUUGGUUGAUUUUACGAGUCUAAAGCAACUCAUACAACCCGAAAAAACAUAGUUUGACUAAAAAAAAAUUUAAGAUGAUAUCUUUUUUAAUAUUAAGAUAAAAAUAUAUUUUACUGUUUUAUUAAAUUAAAUAUAGAAAAAAAAGUUUUUUAAUAGAAGUAAAAUAAACACUUUUGUCUUAUGAUUUAUGUGCACAUUAAAAUGUGUUUUAUAUACUUGAUUUGGUUCUUGAUCUAUAGUAAUGAAUCAGUUUUAUUUAAAUAAUUAAGUUAUUAUAUGAAUAUGAAUUGAAUAUAAAUAAUUAAGUUAUUUGAAACAAUAAACAAUAAAAGGACAUGAGAGGAUGAAUAUGAAUUGAAUCCUAAUUAACUCCACUCUAAAACUAAUAACUUAUUAUAUGGACAAGAUCCAUUAACUAAGAAACGGACCAAUCCAGUAGAAUACUAAGCAAUGGACCAAUCCAGUAACAAGAAGUUAAGGAGACCCACUUCAAGUCAACGAGCCUUCUUCUCCAACCAGAAAAGAAAGGGGAAAGUGUCUUCUUAUUCACAUGCUUAAAUAAUAUCAUCUGCACAAAAAGAUAGCUUUCCUCAUGAUCUUCUUCCCACCUCCUCCUUACAUAUAACACCCUUCCUUCCUUUUUGGGCUUCUUUGAAUUCUGGGUCCUUUGAAUUCCUUUUUCGUUUCGGCUUUCUGUCCCGUAAUCUUUGCUAAAUGGGAUGAAAGAAGAAAAAUGCUUCCCCAGCAAUUGAUUGGCUGAUCUGUAAUGUAGCAGCAAGCAGCUGUAAUUAUUUAAUUAGCCGUCGGUGAAGAGGUCAAGUUUCAGUUCAGAAGGUGAGGUAUUGAAUACUAGUGGCACUCAACUUUUAUUUGCCUUUCCAUUUCGAUAACAUAUAUAUUCGGCAGCUUCAGUCUUACCUUGGCUCAACACCCCUCAUUUCCUGCUCUGUCAUCUGAGAGGGCCAGAGACAUGGAGGUUGAACAUGUUAGCCACCCAGAUCAUCCAUUGAUCCUCAUUAAUCAAGUUCUCGAAUAUAGUUGUGAACUAGUUAUUUGCUCUGGAUGCGAGGGACCUAUAUGGGGUCCUUGCUACAGUUGCACCUCUUGCUACUUCUUUCUUCACAAGAAAUGCGCCGAGCUGCCCCGUGAGAUCAUGCGGCGCAUUCAUCGUAGACACCCUCUCCAUCUACUGCCAAAGCCACCGUAUAAAACACGAUGCUUUUGUGAUCGGUGCUACAAAACUUGCAACAGUUUUGUUUACCAUUGUUCUUUUUGUAAGUUUGAUCUAGAUAUCAAAUGUGCUUUUCAACCGGGUUUUUUGGAAGUUGAUAGUCAGGCACAUCAAUUUACCCACAAGGAUCAUCCAUUGAUUUUGAAUGAAGAGCAAGAAUAUCAUGGUGAAGGAGUUGUGUGCUGUGUGUGCAAGGAACCAAUGUCUGGUCCUAGCUAUAGUUGCACUUCUUGCAACGUCUUUCUUCACAAGAAGUGUGCUGAGCUACCCCCAGAGAUCAAGAGGCACAGUCAUCCAGAACACCCUCUUUGUCUACUGCCAAAUCAUCACAUGAUCUGUAGUUUUUGCAAAGAAACUUGCUAUGAGAGUUUUGCUUACUGCUGUUUUGUGUGCGAAUUCAACCUCCAUAUCAAAUGUGCUUUUCCACCGUGCGUUUAUGCAGCUGAUCAGGAUCAGGGGCAUCAAUUUAGAAGCCUGCUGAAUCCACGUUCAUUCAAAUCAAUCUCCUUCACUUGCAAUGCAUGCGGCACAGAUGGAUAUGGCUCCCCAUUCAUAUGCACCAUGUGCCAACUCGUGGUCCACGAAGAAUGCAUUUCAUUGCCAGGCACCCUUAAAAUAGCACUGCACCAUCAUCCCCGAAUCAUCCACACCUAUCAUCCUCAACAAUGCAUCGAAUCUAUAAACAAGUACUGUGGAAUUUGCUGUCGGGAAGUUGACACAGAAUACGGAGUUUACUAUUGCCCAGACUGUGACUUUGUUGCACACGUGAAUUGUAGCAGAGAAUAUGGCGAUUCGGCAACAGAGACUGGAGGAGAAAACGAAGAAGAGCAAAGUGUGACUGUUGAUGAUCAAUUCAUGGAACCUAGCUUUCGCGUAGUCCGUGAGAUCAAGCAUGGAGAGGAGAGAAUAAUUGAAGAGAUCGAACAUUUCAGUCAUCAACAUAACCUAAUCCUUAAUGACAAGGUUGAUGAUGAUCUAAAGUGUGAUGGGUGCAUGCUACCAAUCUCAACUCCAUUUUAUAGUUGUGCCAGGUGUAAUUUCUUUCUUGACAAAACCUGCAUAGAAUUACCCAAGAAAAAAAAGUGGCAAUAUCACGAAAACCAACUGAUUCUUUCAUGGAGCCGAAGGGAACAUUUUCUGUACAACUGUGUUGUGUGUAAUCAAUAUUUUCGUGGGCUCAGGUACACAUGUGAUGUAUGUCGUCUCUGCAUUGAUGUCCGAUGCUUCAAAUCAUUGAAAGAUUCUUUUAAACAUGGAGGUCAUGAGCAUCCCCUUUAUCUUCCAGCGGACAGAAAGAAAAUUCUCCGUUGCACUAUUGGAGGUCGCGGGGUUCCCCCUUGGGUUGCAGAUGACGGAGAGAUUAUUCCCCAUUGCAGUGGCUGUUGUGUCAGUGAAGAAUCAAAGGUAUUUUUUAAAUGUGCGGUUUGCGAUUUCAAGCUGGGUAUGAAAUGUGCUACACUGCCAUACAAAGCAAGACACGAGUAUGAUGACCAUCCUCUCUUCCUCACCUAUAUUAAUGAAAAUGACUACCAACCUUCCUGUAUAAUUUGUGAAGAAGAUAGAGACCCAAAGCUCUGGUUCUACCGUUGUGAGGAAUGCGACUUCGAUGCUCAUCCAGAAUGUGCUCUCGGGAAAUACCCAUUUUUCAAGCCAGGGGGUGUUCUAACAUAUCCUAAACACCCUCACCCUCUUGCUUUGGUCAUCAAGACAGAGGAUUAUCGUCCGCAGGCAUGCGAUACUUGUGGUGAGCCUUGCGAUGACUUGGCCCUUGAAUGUACUGAUCCUAACUGCAGUUUUAUCGUCCACAGGAAAAGAAGGCAAUGCUCUAACUCAUUAUGGUAAUUGGAUGGCAGUUGUUGGCUUUUUUCUUAUUUUUGGGUUAUGAUUGUUGGCAGUUGCCAGACAGAGGAUUAUUAUCUCUGUUUCUAUUUUCGCGUAUGAGAUCACUUUUUUGUUUCUCUGUUUUGUUCUGAACAAUAAAAGAUGCUAUUUUAUUAAAACUGUCCUUGAAGGUAGUUUGUUGUUUCUUUGAGCCUUAGUAAGUGACAAAGAUGUCCAUAAAUUCUGCUUUUACAUUUUUGUUAUAGAUUUUAUUGUAAAUGCAUAAAAAUAUUGGCAUAUAAAAGAACACUUAUCUAACUGAUAUCAAUUAUUUUCAUUCAAAUAUUUAAUUUUUAUUUCCUUAACAUAAUCUAAUAUUAAAUAAAUAUAUAUUAAAUAAUAUUUAAAACGAACACCUCCGGGGCAUUCGAUAGCCUUUUCCUUUAAGAUAUAUAAUGAAAACGUUUAGAAACUGAUUGAUUUUUAAUUUAGACAAAAAGCUCUUUCUAGCUCAAACCCAAUUUAAUUAUUUUUCAGGCUAAUUAAUGGAUAGUCCAGAAAAAAUAAUUAAUGCUUUUUGAAACUUCUACUGCAUUUUUUUUUAGCGGCAAAAACAAAUUAUUGAGUAAAAUCACUAUAUUAAAAUCAUAAUAUAAUUUGUUGUUUCUUUGUGCCUUCGUAGUGACAGAGAUGUCUGACCAUUUUUCUUAGCUUAGCAGGAAGCUCUCCAUAAAUUCUGCUUUUACAUUUUUGAUAUAGAUUUUAUUGUAAAUGCAUAGAAAUACUGUCAUAUCAAUUAUUUUCAUUCAAAUAUAAAAUAACACUUAUCUAACUGAUAUCAAUUAUUUUCAUUCAAAUAUUUAAUUUUUAUUUCCUUAAACACAAUCUAAUAAUAAAUAAAUGUAUUUAAAUAAUAUUUAAAACGCAUACCUCAAAGGCAUUCGAUAGCUUUGUCCUUUAAUAAGAUAUAUCAUGAAAAAGUAAGUUAAUUCAUGUUUUUGGUAUUUUUUCUUUUAAGAAGAAUAAGAACAAGUAUCGAUCUUCUUUAUCUAAUUUCUAAACCACGAAAGAAUAAGAACAAGCCAUUUCGAUCGAUCAUUUGGUUUUCCAUUUGCUAAGACAUGAUAAUCCCCCGGGGAGGAGAUAAUUAUGCUGGAAUUGACUUUGAUGUUACAACAAAAAGCUUGGCCAACAUUUCAAGUAUUAAAAUAAAAAUAUAAAAAAUCACCUGAGUCAACUCGAGUUAACCUAUUAAGUUAUUUAUAAAUCAUGAAUCGUGAUAACCUAAUAAAAAAAACUGAAAAAAAUCAUGAUGUCCAACUCAAUAUUAAAAAAUUAAAUUGAAGAAAAAAAUCAGUUAAGAAAAUAAAAUUAAAAAAAAACUUGAAUCAAUAGGGUUAACCACCCAAACUUAUGAUUUGAAUUAUAAGGCUCGGACAACAUAAUAAAAAAUAAAUUCAAUGUCAAAAAUGAAAUUGCAAAAAAAAAAUAGAGAAGCAUUUAUUAAAAAAAUAAAAUGAAAAAAAGAAAGAAAAAAAAAGCACUAUGAAAAAAGAAAAAAAAAGGCACUAAAGUGCUUUGUUUAGAUGCCACAGGUACUUUGCCUUAAUUUUUUCGGAGUUGAUCAAUGGAUUAACCAAGAAAUAGAUUUUACUUCUAACAUUCUCUGAAGAAAAUCUUUGUUUAACUUUCUUAAUACAUUUUACUGUAAGAAACAAGGAGAAAGGAAAAAGAAAAAGGACAAACGAGAAAUUACUUGGUUGAGAUAACCAAGAAAUAGGUUUAUCAACGGAAGGACCUAAUUUUCUGUUCCAGAUAAACUUGAUGAAUCCGCUGUUUCGUAUUUUAAUUAGUGCUUGUUUGAAAGUGUAGUUGCAGUUUUUUUUAAAAGUGUUUUUUAUGCUGAAAUAUAUGAAAAUAAUAUUUUUUUUAUUUUUUAAAAAUUAUUUUUGAGAUCAGUGCAUUAAAACGAUCCAAAACAUACAAAAAAAUUAAUUUUUAAUAAAAAAAUUUGAAUUUUGGUAUAACAUGGUUUAUACCGCGUUCAUCCAAACCACGUAUAAAAUAACAUCAUGUAUAAAACAUUAAUUCAAAAUAAAAAAAAUAUUGUUUUAAAAACAUUUUUAAAACAACAAACAAAUUAUAAGUUCUGAGUUUGAAUUAAAAAUACUUCUAUUUGAUAUGGUCAUUUCAAAAUAUUUUUUUUUUAUUUUUACAAAAAAAUCAAUUUUGUUGUUAGAGAAAAACAAAAAUCAAGGGGUCAAAAUUAAAAGUUUGGUGAAGUAGUAGCCUUUUUAAGAAAACAUAAGUGUCACAGCCUUUUAAACUUAAAAUUUGGUCAAAUAUUAGUUUUGAUCCCUUCGGCUUGGAAAUUAUACUAUUUGGUUCAAAAUUUUAUUUUAUUUACAUUUAAGUCAAUAAAUUUAAAAGAAAAGGGUAAAAGUUGCUAGAUUACAACGAAUGAGAGAGAAUUAUUAUUAAUCACAUUCUAACAAUCAAAAAAAAUCAUUCUUGAUAUUAAUGAAUUCUAUUUCAAAAAAAGAAUUUCAUUAAUGUAUUUUUUGCCCAAUGAACUUUUUUUAAACCCAAACAAAUAUUGAGUUUUUAUUAAGUUAUUCAAUAAGAGUUGGUACAUAUAACAUUAUGUGCAAUUUGCUUAAAUAUUUUAGUUAAUUCAAAUGAAAUAUCAUAAUAUUAGUUAAUUAUGUAAUUGUUCACAUUUCAAGGUUAUUAAGAGUUAAACCGUUUGAUUUUAAAAAUUAAAAAAAAAGUGUUUUAAAAUUAAGUGUUUCCUUUUUUUUCUCCUUAAUGUUUUUUGGUUACUUAAUUUUUUUUUUCAAUUUGAUCUUUACAUAUUUAUUAAAUUUAGAAUUAAGCUUCAUGAUAUAUUUCAUGCUCUUUUCUUUCGAGUUUUCAUGGUCUUUUAAAACAUCAUGGCAUUGAGUUUGUUUUUAAUUUUACAAAGAAGAAUUCAAUUUGAUUGUUUACAAAGAAUUAAAAAUGAGAGGAUAAAAAUUGAAAAUUAGGUGAAAUGGUAGCUCUUUAGAUGAUAUUUUCACUUCUCAGUGCUUAAUUUCUUGUUUUUUUUAGUUCGGUCAUCGAGCUUUGUUUUUUUUCAAAUUUACCCUUUCACAUUGCAUUGAUUGAUGAUUUGGUUCGUAUUGCUUCUUUCAGUUUAUCAUAAUCUCCAAAAAACUACCACCACAUUAGGUUGGUUCUCUAUUUUACAAAAAACAAAAAAUCAAUUUUUUUGUUAGAGAAAAACAAAAAUUGAGGGGAUCAAAAUUAAAAGCUUGGUGAAAUGAUAACCUUUUUAAAAAACAAUGGGUGUUAAAGUCUUUUAGACUUAAAAUUUAGUUCAAUAUUAGUUUUGGUCCCUUCAGCUUGAAAUUAUACUAUUUGGUUCAAGAUUUUAUUUUAUUUACAUUCCAAUUCUUAAAUCUAAAAGAAGACAAUAAAAGUUAUUGUUAACCAUAAUUUAGCAACCGAAACAAGUUGUUCUUGAAGUUAAUGGGUUCUAUUUCAAGAUAAGAAUUCCUCAUCAGAUUUCAAGAUAAUGGGUUGUUUAGAGUAGGUUUGUUUUCAUGUUUUAAAAAUAUUUUAAAAAAAAUUUAAUUUUUUUUGUUUUAUAUUAAUUUUUUUGUGUUUUUAAAUCAUUUUAACGUGCUAAUGUCAAAAAAAAAAAUUAAAAAAAAAAUAUUAUUUCGAUAAAUUAUUUAAGUGAAAAACACUUUGAAAAACAAUUCCCACCACAAUACAAAAAAAAACUCUUAUUAGUUGAAACUAAAUUAUUGGUAGCGCUAAAUUUUAUCUAAAUUUCUUUUAACAUAAAAAAAAUAUUCAGAUGUUGUUAAUGAUUUUUUUCUAAUGAAAAAAAAAUUAAUGCAAGAGUUGAUUUGAUGUGACUUGGUAUAUUUGACAGGUCUAAAAACAAUCCAAAUGACCAGUAAAAACAUAAUUUAACUAAAAAAUUAAUAUAAUAUUUUUUUUAAUAUUAAAAAGAGAAGUUAUUGAAUCGACUUGAAUCAAUGUAGGUUAACAUAUCAAAUUCAUUACCUGAGUUAUGAGAGCAGUAGGAAGUUUGAAUAAGAAGUGCACCUAUUUGAUAGGUCACCUCAUUUGAUGAACAGUGGUCAUUUCAAUCACAAGUUUUGCCUACUCCUCGAGGCACGAACACAUAACCUCCAAAAACAAAUCACUAAUUAAUGUGUGAUACAUAAACAAAGAAAAAUAAAUUACUUGAUUUGCUGCUGUAAAGAUAUUAAACUUACAUACACCCAUAUUAUUUUAUAUUAAAUAAAUAAAAUUAAUAAAAUUUAAACUUUUGAUUAUUCAAGACUCUAGUAUUAUAUAAAAAAUUAUUUUAAUUCAGUAACUUAAAUUAUUAAUUAAAGAGGAAAUGAGAAAUUGGUCCGUGCCCACCAUUCCAGAAUACAAUAGACAUCCAGCUCACAUGAUUACUUUUACAUGGAUAAUCAGUCAAGACAUGACCCUGGGGCUCUCAUGAUUUCACGUGAACAACAACAUUUUCUCAUUGGCAAAGGUUUUCACAAUGAUGCUGACUUGAAGACGUGACAAAUGCCUUUUUUUUUUUUUUUUUAUCUGAGAUUUUAAAAUAUAAUUUAUAUUAUUUUUUAAUAAAUAUAAUUUAAGGUAUAAUUAUCAAACCUAUUCUAGCCGGUAAGUCGACUUAAAGUCUAGCCACCCAGGCUUGAUUUCUUUUUGAACCAAUAAAUCAACCUUUAACCUGGUUACUGUAUCAAACUUGAGUGAGAUUUAAUCAGGUUAUUUCCAAGGAAUUUUACAAAAAAUUAUCUCGAUGUUUUGUUUUCAAAAAACCACUAAAAUGAUAUCGUUUUGAAACUAACCACUCUGUUACUGGGGACUUUAUUCGGGUAUGAUAAAGUUCAACAAGAUUUCCUGCUUUAUAUAGUUAUUUGAGACUCUUUUGUGUGAGAAUCCAUGGAGUUUUCAUCUGUUCUUUACAUUUGUUUUGUAUCUGUUUCAUUAUCAGUAUCAUCAAAUAAUUUGUUGAGUCUGACAGAUAGAAAUUAUCCCAGUUCAUUCACAGGAUGAAGACUGGCGAAGAAUCAAGCGAGAAAAAUGAUAAGGGAGAUCAAGUUUGCGGGUUAGCAGCAAAUGUGAAAAAGAAUUUGGAAACCUUAGGUCCAAAUCCUUUAUCGGAAGAGUGUUGUAUCUAUAAAGUUCCAAAGCGACUGCAAGUGUUAAACGACAAGGCCUACACACCUCAAGUAGUCUCCAUUGGUCCAUUUUUAUGUAAUACUAUUUAACUUACUUGAUUUGCUGCUGUAAAGAUAUUAACUUAUCAGUAACCCUUCUUUUUUGUUCUAAGUUCUGUAUAUAUCACAUUUCUUGAUUUGUAGAGAACAAAAACAUAAUUAACCUCGACUUCAUUAAUAAUUAUAUAUCUAAUACAUUUUAUAAAUAACUACAAAAUUAUACAAAAAAAACUAGAAGUCAUAUGUUAAUCACUAUAUGGCUUGUGAGAGGAUUUGUUUUGGAUUGCAAAGUGUUUCUUUCUAUUUUUCAUUAAAUUUUUUUCAGUUACUUAUUUUUUUUCAAUUUAACUUUUACACAUUUAAUUAAUUUAAGUAAAAAACACUUUAAAAAACAAUUAAAAAAAAUUAUUCUUGAUGUUAAUAAGUACCAUUUCAAGAUAAAAAUUUUAUUACUGUAUGUUUUGCUCCUCAUCUUACUAGAAAAAGUAAAUUCUUUAGGGAUUUUUUUUUGAACCGGAACAAAUUUUGAAUUAUUUAAUCAAUUAAACAUUGUUUAGAGGUUAUGUUUACGAGGUGUUUAUAAGUGUUUUUAAGUGAAAGAAAUGAUUGAAAUGUUGUUUUGUGUUCAAAGAGAGGGGAGCAAUUUUCUAGUGACUUCCAGCCUCUAGAGUUUCUCGACGAUGAAACAAAUAGGUGGCGUGUUUUUAAUUUGUCACUACAAAAAACAUAUUGGAUUAAUUAGAAAAAAAAAAAAAUGUGUUGAUUGACGUGCUAGGCCUCCUGGAUCAGUGCUUAACCAUUUUUUGCCCUUUUAAGUCUAUUUAAUGUAGAAUUAGAUAACUAAAUAUAUAUAUAUAUAUAUAUAUAUAUAUAUAUAUAUAUAUAUAUUUAUUAAUUUAUUAAAUUAAUACAAAAUAUAUUAAAGGUGUUUUUUUUAAUUAACAUUAAAAUUUUAGUUUUAGUUUGAAUAAUGUUAUAGUUGUCUUUUUAAAAUUUUGACAACCAUUAUUUUUUAACAAACAAUUAUUAUUUUUAGUUUCUCCAACAUUUUUUUUUCGAAAUGCAUUCAAUGAUUACCUUAUGAUUUAUAAUACUAUAAAUUUGACUUGACAUGUUUUAAACAAUAAAUAGUUAAAUUUUUAUUUUUAUUAUAUAUAAUUGAUGCCAUUUUUAUUUUAAUUUAAUAAUUUGUGGGUAAUAAACAUGAAAAAUAUGAUAUGAAAUAACAUGAGAGGAUCAAUAUGAAUAUUUGAAUUAAGAUCCUAACUCCACUCAAGAUAGCUCCUCUAAGACUAAUAGUUUCUAAUACUAUUCUUCAUUUUCAUCUUUUGUUUUGUAUUCAUUGUUAAAUUAUUAUAUGGACAUGAUCCAUUUUCAUCUGAAUUUAAUGAACAUGAUGAAAUGUGAUAUAUAAGAGAAUGUGUUUUCAUUUUUUUUUUAUAUCUCUAAUUAUAUAAUUUAAUUCCAAGAUAAAUGAUCUUCUCUAACAUGUCCUGUCUAUGUUUUCCAUUCAAAUUAACAGAAAAGCCACACGACCUUCACAAAUGUAUUUUGAUAUAUAAAAAUAUCACUUACUCUAUAUAUAUAUGAUAAGUAGCUCAUUAUUUCUUAUAUCUCAAAGAUUGUUUCUAAUAAGUCUUUAUAAGUGUAAUUAUAUCAGUUAUAUCUUUAAUUUUUAGUUAAGUUAUUCAAUAAGAGGCUGUGCAAUUAUAUCAGUUAAAAAAAUAAGUGUAUUUUUAGAAAGUUACUUCUCAUUUCUUAUUUUCUUGAAAUAAAUUAGAUAAAAAUAAUUAAAAUAAAAGAGAUAAGAUAAAAUAUAAGACAAAGAAAAAGUUGUAUUUAAUAAUAAUAUAUAAGUUAGAGUAAUUGUCUUUAUACAAAUAAUAUAUGAAACCAUCCAAACUUAUUUGAAACAAUAAAUAAUUAAGUUAUUAUAUGAAUAUUAAUUGAUUUUAAAUAAUUAAGUUAUUUGAAACAAUAAUCAAUUAAAGGACAUGGGAGGAUGAGUAUGAAUUGAAUCCUAAUUAACUCCACUCUAAAACCAAUAGUUUCUAAUACUAUUUUUCAUUUCAAUCCUUUACCUUGUAUUUAUUGAUAAAUUAUUACAUGGACAUGAUCCAUUAACUAAGCAAUGGACCAAUCCAAUAGAAUAAAGACAUUUGUUUGCAUAAUUAAAACAACAAUAAUUCUAAGAACCUAUAAUUAAUCUGGAAAGAAAAUAGAAAGGAAACUCAUGAUCUUCCUCUACCUCUCUCUUUUCAUUAUAAAACCUAGAAAUCCAAAGGCAAUACUUUAUGUAAGGGAUGAUAAAGGAUGCUUAUGAGUCGGCUUUUCAAAAUGAAAUGGUAAUUUCUUCUACGAUUUUGCUUUAGAUAUAUUGAUUUACGAUUUUGAUAAUUAAAGUAUUUUACCAUACAAUUUUAAUGUUUAGAGGUGCUCUGAUGCACAAUAAUUAGAGUUAGUUUAUUUUUAUAUUUCGAACAGGCAAACGAGUAAUAUAGGAAGUUGAGGAAACCCAUCAAAAGUCAACGAGCCUUCUUCUCCAACAAGAAAAGACAGGGGAAAGUGUCUUCUUAUGCACAUACUUGAACAAUCUCACCCUCACAAAUAGAGGAGCCUGUAGCUUUCCUCGUGAUCUUCUACCCGCCUCUUCCUUACAGGUAACGCCCUUUCUUCCUUUUCGGGCUUCUUUGAAUUUUGGGCCCUUUGAGUUAUUUUUCGUUUCGGCUCUGUCCCAUAAUCUUUGAUAAAGGGGAAGAGGGAAGAGGUCAAAUUUCAGUUCAGAAGGUGAGGUAUUGAAUAAUGAAUACUAGCAGCACUCAACUUUUAUUUGCCUUUCCAUUUCGAUAACAUAUAUAUUCGGCAGCUUCAAUUUGGCCUGCCUAAGUCUUGUCUUGGCUCAACACCCCUCAUUUCCUGCUCUGUCCUCUAAGAGAGCCAGAGACAUGGAGAUUGAACAUUUUAGCCACCCAGAUCAUCCAUUGAUCCUCAUUAAUCAAGUUCUCGAAUAUAGUUGCGAACUAGUUAUUUGCUCUGGAUGCGAGGGACCGAUAUGGGGUCCUGGCUACAGUUGCACCUCUUGCUACUUCUUUCUUCAUAAGAAAUGCGCCGAGCUGCCCCGUGAGAUCAUGCGGUGCAUUCAUCCUAGACACCCUCUCCAUCUACUGCCAAAGUCACCAUAUAAAGGAGAAUACGGUUGUGAUCGCUGCCAAAAAACUUGCAAGAGUUUUGUUUACCAUUGUUCUGUCUGUGAAUUUGAUCUUGAUAUCAAAUGUGCUUUUCAACCGGGUUUUUUUGAAGUUGAUAGUCAGGCACAUCAAUUUGCCCACAAGGAUCAUCCAUUGAUUUUGAAUGAAGAGCAAGAAUAUCAUGGUGAAGGAGUACAGUGUUGUGUGUGCAAGGAACCAAUGUCUGGUCCUAGCUAUAGUUGCACUUCUUGCAACUUCUUUCUUCACAAGAAGUGUGCUGAGCUACCCCCAGAGAUCAAGCAGCAUUUGCAUCCAGAACACCCUCUUCGUCUACUGCCAAAUCAUGAUAUGAUCUGUGAUUUUUGCAACGAAACUUGCUAUGAGAGUUUUCUUUACUUUUGUAUUGUGUGUGAAUACAACCUCCAUAUCAAAUGUGCUUUUCCACCGUGCAUUGAUGCAGCUGAUCAGAAUCAAAGGCAUCAAUUUAGACGCCUAAUGAAUCCACUUUCAUUAAAAUCAAUCUCCUUCACUUGCAAUGCAUGUGGCACAGAUGGAGAUGACUCCCCAUUUUGGUGCACUAUGUGCCAACUCGUGGUCCACAAAAAAUGCAUUUCAUUGCCACGCACCCUUAAAACGGAACUGCACCAGCAUCCCCGAAUCAUCCACACCUAUCAUCCUCAAAAACGCAUCGAAUCUAUAAACAAGUACUGUGGAAUUUGCUGUCGGGAAGUUGACACAGAAUACGGAGUUUACUAUUGCCCGGACUGUGACUUUGUUGCACACGUGGAUUGUAGUGGAGAAUAUGGGGAUUCUGCAACAGAGAUUGUAGUAGAAAACGAAGAAGAGCAAAGUGUGACUGUUGAUGAUCAAUUCAAUGAACCUAGCUUUCGCGUUGUCCGUGAGAUCAAGCAUGGAGAGGAGAGAAUAAUUGAAGAGAUCGAACAUUUCAGUCAUCAACAUAACCUAAUCCUUACUGACAAGGUUGAUGAUGAUCUAAAGUGUGAUGGGUGCAUGUUACCAAUCUCCACUCCAUUUUAUAGCUGUGCCAGUUGUAAUUUCUUUCUUGACAAAACCUGCAUAGAAUUACCCAGGCGAAAAAAGUGGCAAUAUCACGAAAACCAACUGAUUCUUUCAUGGAGCCGAGGGCCACAUGAUCUGUUCUACUGUAAUGUGUGUAGGCAAUAUUUUCGUGGGCUCAGGUACAAAUGUGAUGUAUGUGCACUCUGGAUUGAUGUCCGAUGCUUCAAAUCAUUGGAAGAUUCCACUAAACAUGGAGGUCAUGAGCAUCCCCUUUAUCUUCCAGCGGACAGAAAGAAUAUACUCCGUUGUAAUAUUGGAGGUCGCGGGCUUCGCCCUUGGGUUGCAGCGGACGGAGAGAAUAUUCCCCAUUGCAGUGGCUGUUGUGUCAGUGAAGAAUCAAAGGUAUUUUUAAAAUGUGUGGUUUGCGAUUUCAAGCUCGGUAUGAAAUGUGCUACACUGCCAUAUAGAGCAAGACACGAGUAUGAUGACCAUCCUCUCUUCCUCACCUAUAUUAAUGCAAAUGACUACCAACCUUCCUGUAUAAUUUGUGAAGAAGAUAGAGACCCAAAGCUCUGGUUCUACCGUUGUGAGGAAUGCGACUUCGAUGCUCAUCCAGAAUGUGCUCUCGGGAAAUACCCAUAUGUCAAGCUUGGGGGCGUUCGCACAUGUCCUAAACACCCUCACCCUCUUGCUUUGGUCGUCAAGACAGAGGAUUAUCCAGCAUGCGAUACCUGUGGUGAGCUUUGCGAUGACUUCGCCCUUGAAUGUACUGAUCCUAACUGCAGUUUUAUCGUCCACAGGAACAGAAAGCAAUGCUUUAACUCGUUAUGGUAAUUGGAUUACAGUUGUUGGCUUUUUUCUUAUUUUUGGGUUAUUAUUGUUGGGUGAAUGGAUGCUUAUUAUCUCUGUUUCAAUUUUCGCAUAUGGGAUCACUUUUUUAUUUUUCUGUUUUUUUCUGAACAAUGGAUGCUAUUUUAUUAAAACUGUCAAGGUAGUUUGUUGUUUCUUUGUGCCUUCGUAAUGACAAAGAUGUCUGACCUUCCACCAUUUUUUUUAGCUUAGCAGGAAGCUCUUGAUCCACUCCAUAAAUUCUGCUUUUACAUCUUGCUUCCUGAAGUUCAGGAAACAGCCGAAGGUUUUUUGGAAAUUAUAUAUCGAAGAUCUUAAAUCAUUUGGAUUUGAAUGCUAUCUUCAUCAUUACAAUCUUAUGUUGCUAAUAUCCAUCCCACAUGAAAGUUCAUCUCACUUGUUGUUUCGAUUUACUCUUUACAUUUUUGUUAUAGAUUUUAUUACAAUUUUUCUUUUAAAGAAGAAUAAGAAUAAGCCUCAAUAUUGUUUAUCUAAUUUCAAAACCAUCAAGGGAUUUAGAGGCCCAAAUCCCCUUUCGAUUAUUUGGUUAGAUAAGAUAAAUCAACGGUGAGGCAAUUUAGAACCUGAUUGAUUUUUAAUUUAGAUAAAAAACCCCUUUCAAGUUCAAACCCAAUUUAAUUAUUUUUAAUGGGGUACUCCAAAAAAUAUAAUUAAUGCUUUUGAAACUUCUACUGCAUUUAAAAAAAAAAACAAGUAACACAAAAUUCUAUCAAGUAAAAUCACUAUAUUAAAAUUAUAAUUCUCUAAUUAAAAUGUAAUAUUAUAGUGUUUUUAUAUUAAAAAAAUCUGAAAUAAAAUAAAAAAAUAAUAAUUAAAUUCUAAAUUAAAUAGAAAAAAAAUUCUAAAUCAACUAAUAAAAUAUUACAAGUUGGAUAGUUUUGUGGUUUUAUUUGAAAGUCUUACUGAUUUUAAAAGACUAUUAAAUUCUAAUUUUAUAGAAAAUAAAGCUUUUAAAAUCUUCUAAUAAAAUUUGAGUUGGAUUGAGAUAAAAUCUUCUAAUGGGCUACUCUGCCAUGUAAAGCUAGACACAUGUACAAUGACCAUCCUCUCUUUCUCACCUAUAAUUAUCCAAAAUCCAAAUUACUACCAAUUUGUUUGUCAAAUUUGUGAAAAUCAUAAAGCUCUGGUUCUACUCUUGUGAGAAAUAUGACUUUAAUACUCAUCCAGAAUGUGCUUUUAGGAAAUACUCAUAUAUCAAGGUAAUGAGCAUUUACACAUGACUUUCAGACCCAUUGAUGCACAAAUCCGUGAAUUGAAGUAGUAAAUUGGAUUGCAUUUUUCUUAGUUGUUUGGUUUAUUUGAUAUUUAAUAGAUGUUUAGAUGGUAGCCUGUAAAGGAGAGUUCUUUGAUCUUCUUCUAUUACUGUGAUGUGUGUGUAGGUUUUUGGAAGAAGAAGAAUAAUUUUAUUUCUUAUUCAUUCAAUUGUUAUGGUUACAAGAUAAAUGUUAAAUAGUAGAGGAGAUCACCAAAUUAGAAAGGCCACAAAUUAGGAAAAACAAGAAACGGGAGCUUUGUUAAUGUUGGCAUAUUCAUAGGCAUUUCACAGCUCUUCCUCUUCAAGAAUUCUCUUUAGCCAUAACAUUUCACAAACUUCAUUGCCAUAACCCUAUAUUCUACCUCAGCACUGCUUCUUGCAACCACAUUUUGUUUUUUAUUUUGCCAUGUAACUAUAUUUCCUCAAACUUAAGUACAAUAUUCUAAUGUGGAUCUUCUAUCAAUGACUGAACCCGCCCAAUCUGCACAUCAGUGUAUGCUUCUAUUGUCUGCGCUUGUCUGGUGUGCUUUUCAAGUGUAUGAGAAUCCAAUAAACUGCUUCAAGAUGUUUUGCGUGGGGUGAAUGCAUAAACUAGCUUACUGAAAUCACAGCAAAUGCAAUAUUAGAUCAUGUAUUUGAUAAGUAAAUAAACUCUCCAACUAACUUUUGAUACUGUGUUGUAUUCACACUGGAUUGCCUUCCUUGUCAUCUUCAAGUUUCUGAUUGGGAUCUAUUGGAGUGUCUGCUAGCCUACAACCACUCAUCCCAGUCUCCUUAAGAAGAUCAAUGACACACUUCUGUUGGGAUAUAACGAUCCCCUUCUUUGAAAGAGCAAUCUCUAUUCCAAGAAAAUCCUUAAUCUCUAUUUCAAUGGCGUAUGGGUGAUUAUUAGAUUGAAAGGUUUCCCUUCUUUGAGAGCACCUUUUUUUAAGUAAAACGAAAACAACUUUGAGUUUAUACGCUACUUGUAAGAAUAGCAUAUGUGAGUAUGAUUUUGAGAUUUGAAAGAAUUCCUUGUUUAAGAGGAAAUUGGCCUUUGUCAUGUGAAAUGAACACAUUUUCAAUUUAUGCCCUGCAGAAUAUGCAGAGGAUUUUCUCCUGUGUUUAUUUAAAGUUGAUUGUCAGGCACAUCAACUUGCCCUCAUAGAUCAUCCAUUGAUUAUGAAUCAAGAGCAAGAAUAUCAUGGUGAAGGAGUUAUGUUCUCUGUGUGCGAGGAGGCAAUGCCGGGUCCUAGCAAUUGUUACACUUUUGGCGAAUUCUUUCUUCAGAAGAAGUGUGUUAAGCUACCCCUGGAGAUCAAGUGGCACUUGCACCCUCUUCACCUGCUGGCAAAGCCACCAUCUCAUUACUCAAGAUGCGUUUGUGACAAGAGUUUUGCUCGCCAUUGUUGUUUCUGUGAAUUUGACGAUAUCAAAUGUGCUCUUCCACCGUGCAUUUUUUAACUUGAAGGUCAAAUUAUUUGUCUAGCAUAGUAGCUUCAGUUGAAGAUUGCUUGUUUCACUUGCAAUGCAUGUGGCACUGAUUUGUUGAAGAUUAUUACCAUCAGACGUCACAUCUGUUGCAUUUCUUCAUUCAGCUAACCCAGUCUCAGAAACUUUUCCCGGUGUAUAGAAAGUUUCACCAAAAGCUACUAUGUUUUUUUUUUUCGGAAUUCCUUUGUUUAGGAAUUAUUUUCCAAAUUUUCCUGCAUUUUAAAAAACACUUUUCAGUCAAAAUAAAAUUUAGAUAUGUCAUAUUAUUUGCUGAUUAUAUCAAAUUUGGUCCUCAAACUUUUGAUUGCUAUAUAUAUUUUGUUUUGAAUAUUUAUUUUUUAAUUUCAUCUCUUAAAAUUUAAUUUUUAUAUUAACUUUGGUCCUUAUUUUUAUAAUUGUUAUUUGCUUUUUCCUUAUCAUUUUUUUAUUGAAAUUUUUUAUCUAUCAAAUUUGGUCCUCAUUCUUUUGAUUGUUACUUAUUUUAUUUGAAAUAAUUUAUGAAAUGUUAAUUAUUAUUAUUUUAAUUUCUUCAUCUUUCAAUUUUUUUUUAUUUUUUAGAUUUGAUCUCUAUUAUUUUGAUUAUUAUUUAUUUUAUUUGAGAUAAUUUAUGAAAUUAUAUUUUUUUUUAAUUUAAUUUUUACAGCACAUUGAGCCAUGAAAGUGACCUGUUUUGGAAUGAGUCCAGGAGUGGGACUUUGGAAUUGCGGUUAGAUCAUGAUUUUAAAAUUUUAUUUGUUUCAUUUUAAAUUAAUUUUUUAUGUGUAUAUAUAUAUAUUAAAAAUUAUUUUAAUUUAUUUUUAAACAAAAAAUAUUUUAAAAAACAAAAGGCUUCCAAAACUACAUAGCAUCGAUUUUGCUUCGAAAACAACGUGGCAACUGAAUACAUCCAGUUAAAUGCAUUUUCCUAAAGCAGUUUUCCUUGUAAAAUUUUUACACUCCCUUCGUACUUGUUUGGGAUUGUAAUUGGGUUACGGUUUAAAAUAUUUUUUUAUUUAGAAAUAUAUUAAAAUAAUAUUUUUUAUUUUUAAAAAAUUAUUUUUGAAAUCAGCACAUCAAAACAAUCCGAAAAUAUAAAAAAAUUAUUUUUUAACAAAAAAAAUUAAUUUUUUUAAAAACACGAGUUGACCCGUAUUUUCAAACGGGGUUGAAGAUGGUUGUCGUCUACUCGUGCUUCCUUUUCUUUUUCUUUUAUUUUUAUUCCAUAGUAAAAAAAAAUUAUUAGUUUAUAUGUUAAUCAAGAUUGAGUUUUUUAUUCAAAUGAUUUUAAAUAUAAACAAUUUAAAAGUUAUGAACCAUCGAACAUUCCAUUUAAAGUUAUAUAGUUAUGUUGUGAAGGGUCUUAAAUCAAAUAGAAACUAUACUAGAUUAUUGACUCACGAUAUACUGCGAGUUAGUUCAAAUUUUUUUAAAUAUAAAAAAAAUAUUCAGAUGUUUUUAAUUUUUUUUUCUAUCAAAAAAAUCUAAAUCAUGUGAGGGUUGACCUUGUAUAACUUGAUUAACUUUGUAGGUCCAAAACAACCCAUAUAAUCUGAAAAAACAUAGUUUUACUAAAAAGAAUUCAAAAUAAUAUCUUUUUAAUAUUAAAAUAAAAAUAUGUUGGAUUGUCUGGGAUCAACCUGGGUUAACAUGUCAAAUUUGUGAUUUAAAUCAUGAGACUAUGAUAACCUCUCAUAAAUAAUAAAUCAAAAUAAAUUGUGAAGUCUAAAUCCUCAAUUAAUCUAGUGUUGAAUAAUAAAAUUAAAAAAAAAUAGAAAAUAAUCUAAAAACAUUAUCCGAGUUAACCGUCAAACUCACCACUCACGUUAUAAUAUCAAUCUAACUUUUAAGAACGAUUUCGCUUUAAGAACCACACAUUUUUCAAGAAAAUACAUUUUAAAAAACAAUUUUUACCACUUUUUCAAAGAGUCCCAACUCCCCAAUCCACAUAGUAUAUGUUUUGCUUUGAAAACAACGUGGCAACUGAAUGGUGGUCCAGUUAAACACAUUUUCCUACUCAGCGGUUUUCCUUUAGAAAUGAUGAAUAAAAAAAAUAGCGAUGUUGCUAAUAUUUAUUUUUAGUAAAAAAUAAAUUUAAUUAUGUGAUGGUUAAUUUAAUAUAAUCUGAUUAAUUUUACAGGUUUAAAAAUAAUUUAUACAGCUUGAAAAAAUAUAAUUUAAUUAAAAAAAAUUUAAAAUAAUAUAUUUUUUUAAUAUUAAAAUAAAAACAUGUUGGAUUGAUUAGCAUCAACAUGAGUUUGAACAAAUAUUUAAAAAAAAAAUAUCAAAAACAUUACACAGGACUCAUUCUUCCUAGAGCCAGAAAAAAAAAAUGUAUACAAUAUAUACAGAAUUAGAUUUGAAGAAGACGAGAGAGCAAACUCUUUGUCCUCUCUUACCCACGAGAAUUGAUUGAGGAAAGGAACAAUGAAGAGAACUUCGGAAUCAAAUAUAAUUAGAAUCAAAUAUAAUUAGAGUCAAAUAUUUUUAUAAACUCAAGUCUAUAUUGGAAACCAAUAUUAUUCCUAAUUGAUUUAAAUUCAUGCCUCCUUUUAUUCUUCCAAGUAAAUAACACAGAAACCUCAAACCUGGUAUUCUCUCAACAUGUGCAUCACUAUGUUGUCAUCCUAUACAUAUGUCAUAAAGGUUAAUUCCAAUAAUUAAAAGGUUGUGAAAUUGGUGCAAAACCCUACCUCUAAUGUUUUUUUAUUUCCUUGAAGGGGAAAAAAAGGUGAAAAUUUCAUCUUUUGCCUGGUUUCCAAAUGCAGACCUUGAUGCAAGGAGCCUGACAGAACCCCAUGUAGUUGAAUGCGAUUUUCUCCCUUAUAAUGCAUUAAUUCUUCUUCCACACAUGUGAUGGCCAUGGAAAAAAUAAUUUGGAAAAGUAGGUUUUUCAGAUUUGACUGUACCUCCUUGGAGAAUAGACGCAAGAUCCAAAAUUUUAUUGGAUAUAUGCUUCCCUUUUUCAACCAUGCAAAUAGCAAAGUACAUGGUCUUUUAGGUUCGGCGUGAGAGUUACUUGGUCAGACCGAGGAAUAUAUGGGCUCAUUGCUAUGAGAAAGACAAAGUAGAAAAGAAAUGUUCCUUUUCAGCUUCUCAGAAAUUAAACAUGCUCAUUUAUAAUACUAUUUUUCAUUUCGUUAAUAACUUAUUAUAUGGACAUGAACCAUUGACUAAGCAGUGGACCAAUCCAAUAGAAUAAUAAGCAAUCCAGUAACAAGAAGUUAAGGAGACCCACCUCAAGUCGACGAGUCUUCUUCUCCAACCAAAAAAGAUAGGGGAACGUGUCUUCUUAUUCACAUGCUUGAGCAAUCUCAUCCGCACGAAUAGAGGAGCCUGUAGCUUUCCUCAUGAUCUUCUUCCCACCUCCUCCUUACAGAUAACACCCUUCCUUCCUUUUCGGGCUUCUUUGAAUUUUGGUAUCCGAUCUUAAUGGGAAAUCACUGUGUUCUGGAUCUCGUAGGUUGAUCUGUAAUGUAGAAGUAAGCAGCUGUAAUUAUUUAAUUAGCUGUCGGUGAAGAGAUCAAGUUUCAGUUCAGAAGGUGAGGUAUUGAAUACCUCAACUUUUAUUUGCCUUUCCAUUUCGAUAACAUAUAUAAUUGGCAGCUUCAAUCUGGCCUACCUAAGACUUACCUUGGCUCAACACCCCUCAUUUCCUGCUCUGUCCUCUGAGAGAGCCAGAGACAUGGAGGUUGAACAUUUUAGCCACCCAGGUCAUCCAUUGAUCCUCAUUAAUCAAGUUCUCGAAUGUAGUUGUGAACUAGUUAUUUGCUCUGGAUGCGAGGGACCAAUAUGGGGUCCUUGCUACAGUUGCACCUCUUGCUACUUCUUUCUUCAUAAGAAAUGCGCCGAGCUGCCCCGUGAGAUCAAGCGGCGCAUUCAUCGUAGACACCCUCUCCAUCUACUGGCAAA
rnacentral:lncRNA from 1 species